UACGAAGGGGGCUAGCGUUGUUCGGAAUUACUGGGCGUAAAGCGUAUGCAGGCGGACUUUUAAGUCGGGGGUGAAAUCCCGAGGCUCAACCUCGGAACUGCCUUCGAUACUGGAAGUCUUGAGUCCGGGAGAGGUGAGUGGAACUGCGAGUGUAGAGGUGAAAUUCGUAGAUAUUCGCAAGAACACCAGUGGCGAAGGCGGCUCACUGGCCCGGUACUGACGCUGAGAUACGAAAGCGUGGGGAGCAAACAGG
rnacentral:rRNA from 1 species